rnacentral:tRNA from 1 species
AUCUAAAUAGUUUAGUUAAAAUAUUAACUUGUGGAGUUAGGGAAGCAUUGUUGUGUUUUAGAUA